rnacentral:rRNA from 1 species
ACUCAAAGGAAUUGACGGGGACCCGCACAAGCGGUGGAGCAUGUGGAUUAAUUCGACGCAACGCGAAGAACCUUACCAAGGCUUGACAUCCCGAUGAAUAUAUCAGAGAUGAUAUAGGCCCUCCGGGGACAUUGGAGACAGGUGGUGCAUGGUUGUCGUCAGCUCGUGUCGUGAGAUGUUGGGUUAAGUCCCGCAACGAGCGCAACCCCUAUCUUUAGUAGCCAUCGCGUAUUGGCGGGCACUUUAGAGAGACUGCCGUUGAUAAAACGGAGGAAGGUGGGGACGAUGUCAAAUCAUCAUGCCCCUUAUGUCUUGGGCUUCACACGUGCUACAAUGGCUUUUACAGAGUGAAGCGAAACUGUGAGGUAGAGCAAAUCACAAAAAAGAGUCCCAGUUCGGAUUGUAGUCUGCAACCCGACUACAUGAAGUUGGAAUCGCUAGUAAUCGCGAAUCAGCAUGUCGCGGUGAAUACGUUCCCGGGUCUUGUACACACCGCCCGU